GACGAACGCUGGCGGCGUGCCUAAUACAUGCAAGUCGAACGAGAGCGACCGGUGCUUGCACUGGUCAAUCUAGUGGCGAACGGGUGAGUAACACGUGGGUAACCUGCCCAUCAGAGGGGGAUAACAUCCGGAAACGGAUGCUAAAACCGCAUAGGUCUUCGAGCCGCAUGGCUUGAAGAGGAAAAGAGGCGCAAGCUUCUGCUGAUGGAUGGACCCGCGGUGCAUUAGCUAGUUGGUGAGGUAACGGCUCACCAAGGCCGUGAUGCAUAGCCGACCUGAGAGGGUGAUCGGCCACAUUGGGACUGAGACACGGCCCAAACUCCUACGGGAGGCAGCAGUAGGGAAUCUUCCGCGAUGGACGCAAGUCUGACGGAGCAACGCCGCGUGAGUGAAGAAGGUUUUCGGAUCGUAAAACUCUGUUGUUAGAGAAGAACAAGUGCUAGAGUAACUGUUAGCGCCUUGACGGUAUCUAACCAGAAAGCCACGGCUAACUACGUG
rnacentral:rRNA from 1 species